UUCAAAAAACUUGACAUUUUGCUGUUGUGUGACUCUGCAAUUCAUGAAAUCCUGAAUCCUGUGAUUCUGAUUCAGUUAAAACUGGCUUAUAGAAUUAUUAUUUUUGUAUUUAGGAAAACAACUUGAUUGAUUGAACGAUUGUCCCCCGAACUAGAUCCCAUUGGAAAAACAGAGAAAUCCAUGCUGGACAUGUGCAGUUCAUGAAAUAACCACAAGGUGGCGGUGUAAACCUGUGGAAAAGUCAGAGCCUCAUCCACAGUUGCUUCACGCACACUCUCAUGACUGUAGCAUCUCUGCAUUUACUCCCCAUGUGCGUGCAACUUACGCUUAUGAAAGCACCUGUUUUCUAUUAGAGCGGUAAUCCAACUCCAGUCCCUCUUAAGGAAGCAGAGGAGAGAUAGAGGUGAAAGGGCCCCGUGCCCGGUGAAGAGCCCUGGCAGCGCUGCAAGCUCGGAUAUUUAGGCUGUAAGAGCACCAGGAGACAGAGUCUCUCAACACAGGAAGCUCUGAGUCCCGUUUUGGGUCGUGGUGAAGAUACAGCAGGUCCACAUCAACACGGAGACACAGGCGGCCUCUGUGACGGCCAGCUGAGUGUCUGGAAUAGAAGUCAUCUAAUUGCGUGGAAAAGAUGGCCACCGACCGCCAGCAAACAAACAGAGUCCCUCUCACCUGUCGCAUGACCUACUUCAUGAUGGAAAAUACCGCUGGGUUGCUCUAAAGCACGUAAUUUUAUGGGCCGAAGCUGGUUUAUUUUAGUUGUACAAUUAGGAACUCAAAAGACACAGUAUCGUAAAUCAGCCUAGAUAUGUAGAAAACGGUCAUAUGUACAGGCCUUUUAGGUCCAUCUUCUCUUUACUUGACAUCACACAUCAAUUCGUCUGCUUUGUAAAGGUUUGUAAAGAAAAUGUGUGAAAACAUAUUCAACCACAAAAUCAAAAUCUAUAGUAAAUCUAUAUAUUGUGCUAUAUAUAUAUAUAUAAAUGUGUUUUUAAAUUUUUUGCAUUGUGUUAAGCAUAUUUUCGCAUUAGUAUGUGAAUGUGUCUGGCUAUUUUUUAAGUUUUGUUGUAUUUAUUUUAUUUUGGGAUUAUCCUUAUUAUCAUUUAAUUCCCUUAUAUAAUUUACAUAACAUAUAAACAUCAAUCUAUCUG